AGAACGAACGCUGGCGGCAUGCCUAACACAUGCAAGUCGAACGAGACCUUCGGGUCUAGUGGCGCACGGGUGCGUAACGCGUGGGAAUCUGCCCUUAGGUACGGAAUAACUCAGGGAAACUUGUGCUAAUACCGUAUGAUGUCGAGAGACCAAAGAUUUAUCGCCUAGGGAUGAGCCCGCGUAGGAUUAGCUAGUUGGUGGGGUAAAGGCCUACCAAGGCUACGAUCCUUAGCUGGUCUGAGAGGAUGAUCAGCCACACUGGGACUGAGACACGGCCCAGACUCCUACGGGAGGCAGCAGUGGGGAAUAUUGGACAAUGGGCGAAAGCCUGAUCCAGCAAUGCCGCGUGAGUGAAGAAGGCCUUCGGGUUGUAAAGCUCUUUUACCCGGGAAGAUAAUGACUGUACCGGGAGAAUAAGCCCCGGCUAACUCCGUGCCAGCAGCCGC
rnacentral:rRNA from 1 species